CCUAAGUUCCCAAUAUAUUGCAAUACGGGUACCUGAAUCACAAUAUAUUGCAAUACAAUUCAUUUGCCAAUACACAGACCAAGUCACUUACAGAUAAUUGUUCUGUCAUAAUGGUUGUCUUUUCACACAUGGUUGUCUUUUCACACAAAGUUUGAAUCCAUGUUGAACAAAAAAGAAAAUAACCAGCAGGGUACAAGGAAUUAGGGAUUGUCUGUGAAUUAAUUAAAGGUACAUGUCUCACCUGUUUCAUCCCAGGUAAAAAUAUAGGUACUCAGCAACCUGUGCUUGACAACUAUGGGUCAGUGGGGAGACCAUUGACUGUUGAGUGCAUGAUGAUGAUGAUUUGGAGAUUUAAUGAGUACUUUCCGACAUGAUGCAUAUUUUGCACACACAGUUGAAUGCAGCAUUAGUGAAAGAAUUUGUAAAUAGAAGCUACAAAACCCUUUCCACAUUCAUGAGGAGUCAAUUGUACAACUGUGACUAUAUCAUGAGCAGAUAUUUGUUUCAUCAGCAUUACAGCUAUAUGAGGUUGUUUGUAAACAAAUCGCAUCUGGACCAGACAAUCCAGUGAUUGUCACCAUGCUAUACAAUGACAGAGCAUGUGUUUAUGAAUCACUAUAAAAUAGUGAUGAUAUCAUGCAGCAAAUUUUGACUGAAAAAAAUUAUAAAAUUAUUUUUUAUCAAAUUUGAAAUGAUUUUUCCCAUGAUCUUGAAAUUGGGUCUGUUCCUCAAAGCUGGCUUAGGGCUAUUGAGUGGAAUUUGUUUAGAUUAGUGAAUGUAAUUGUAGUGCAAAUGAAUAUUUGGUUAUGUGAAGGCAGAGGGGAGUUAGUUUGUAUCUAGUUGAGUGUGCUGUGUUGAAUGCAUGAGUUUUAGAGCUAUAAUUACUUGAAUAUUUAUUUUUAAACCAGUUUUUGUAUUUAAAGGUUUGUAUGUUUUUCUGUUCAUAUUAAAUGAAACCCCUUUUAAACUACUAUGUUUAUUGAAUUUUUAUUGUCAAAAUAAGAAAUUCAUUUUUCUCAUAAGAUCAAAAUAUUUUUAAAAUUAUUUUGUUGUUGAAGCAGCUCUGAUUAUCAUUUAAUAUCUCAUUACUAAGUUGUGACGCCAAUACUGAAACAGGUCUAUAUGAUUUUUGCAUAUAACGUAAAUAACAUAUCAUGCCAAUCAUGUGAAUUUAGAUUAUAUUGAUGCAUUGAACUUUUUAUUUUGUACCACCGAUCAACACAGUAAGUUUACCAAAAGAUUUAAUCUGAACAAAAUGCAUUUGUGUUAUAAAGAUGCAUGUGCAAGUACUGGACCCAGGCAGGUUUAUAUGAGAGGUCUGGAGUCAAUGUGUCCCUCAAAAGGUGCUAUCGGAAUGAAUCAAACAAUAAAUGAAAAUUGCCAAAA